UGCCAGCCGCCGCGGUAAUACAUAGGGGUCAAGCGUUGUCCGGAUUUAUUGGGCGUAAAGCGCGCGUAGGCGGAUUGGAAAGUUGGGGGUGAAAUCCCGGGGCUCAACCCCGGAACUGCCAUCAAAACUGAAUUACUUGAGAUUGGUAGAGGAAAAUGGAAUUCCUAGUGUAGAGGUGAAAUUCGUAGAUAUUGGGAAGAACACCAGUGGCGAAGGCGAUUUUCUGGGCCAAUUCUGACGCUGAGGUUCGAAAGCGUGGGUAGCAAACAGGAUUAGAUA
rnacentral:rRNA from 1 species